rfam:Octopus bimaculoides Scaffold50416_contig_16, whole genome shotgun sequence.
AUAACGGUCCUUUUCAGGACCACCCAUAUUCUCAUGAUUGUUACUU